rnacentral:rRNA from 1 species
CCUACGGGUGGCAGCAGUGGGGAAUCUUGCACAAUGGGGGCAACCCUGAUGCAGCGACGCCGCGUGAGCGAUGAAGCCCUUCGGGGUGUAAAGCUCUUUCGUCAGGGAAGCGGUACCUGGAGAAGCAGCUGCGGCUAACUACGUGCCAGCAGCCGCGGUAAUACGUAGGCAGCAAGCGUUGUUCGGAGUUACUGGGCGUAAAGGGUGCGUAGGCGGCUCUAUAAGUAUGGUGUGAAAUCUCCCGGCUUAACUGGGAGGGUGCGCCGUAGACUGUGGGGCUAGAGGGUGGGAGAGGAAAGUGGAAUUCCUGGUGUAGCGGUGAAAUGCGUAGAUAUCAGGAGGAACACCGGUGGUGUAAACGGCUUUCUGGACCACUCUGACGCUGAGGCACGAAAGCGUGGGUAGCAAACAGGAUUAGAUACCCUUGUAGUC